UCACGUCAUGUUCGGUUGGCGAGCAGAAAGGGUCACGUGAUUUCCGGUUAGGGAACAUAGGGACCAUCGAUGCUCACUGGUUUUUGCGUUGCAUUGUGGGAAUUUUUAGGGAACGAACGUUCCAGUGCACUGAACGGAUUUUGCGAUUGAGACAGCCCUUAAAAUGGCCGACUCCCUGAUCAGUGCCCUGACUACUGAACAAGGGAGCUGAUUGAGACACACAGAUGGUCUCGUACAUUAGACAUCGGGCCAUAUGGCCUCGGACUAAAAGUCCUCAGGUGAAACGGCAUCAGGUCUCGGACUAAAAGUCCUCAGGUGAAACGGCAUCAGGUCUCGGACUAAAAGUCCUCAGGUGAAACGGCAUCAGGUGAAACGGCAUCAGGUCUCGCACAACAAGGCAUCAGAUGAAACGGCAUCAGACUUAAAAGCAUCAGGUCUUACUAAAUCAGGUAUCAGACGAAACGGCCUCAGGCAGAAAGGCUUCAGAUGAUUUUCCGCGUAACCCCGCCCCUUAGCGUGACGUCACUUUUGUAAACUUCCGGCCAGCACUUAUUACAGCACACGGAGACUGCUAAAGAUGUAAGAAUGGAUUCACACAGAAAUGAAAUGAUAAAAUUGCUUUUUGCCAAUGGCUGUAAACAGAGAGAAAUAUGCUCUAUUCUUUGUGCCUCUGGAUUCAAAAUCAGUGAAAGGCAUUUAAGAAGAUUAAUUAAAACCCUUGGUUUGAGGCGGAGGAGUUAUGACAGGCCCCUUGAUGAAAUAUGUCAAGCUAUAAUGAGUGAGUUGAAACACUGGUCACCUUGGCAGGGCAUCCGUGCCAUGCACAAACGGGUACGUGGUGUCGGAGGAAUCCAGCCUUGCUACAGGAACGAUGUAGGUGUAAUAAUGGGAGAGCUUGAUGCCAGUGGUCUUAUUAGAAGAUGUCCUGGGAAAAAAAAAAUUGAACGAAGGAACUACUUUAGUCGUGGACCAAAUUAUACUUGGCACAUCGAUGGAAAUGACAAAUUGAAAUUCUUUGGAAUAUGGGUGCAUCUUGGUAUUGAUGGAUUUUCUAGGAAAAUUCUUUGGCUUAAGGUUGGCACCUCUAACCGACAGCAGAGCUUCAUUGCAAGGUACUUCUAUGAUGCUGUUUGGGAACACAACGGUAUGUAUUUUUGGCUGCUUGCAACUCUUAAUGACAAAAUUGUGUAUAUACACUUUAUACAGUCAUGUGAAAAAGUUAAAAUGCCCCAUUAAAUAUUCAGUUUUUGUUAAGAAUGUCAACAUGUUAUUUUUUGAUCUUGUUUUAAUGUGUACCUAUAGAUGAAAGUGAUGUACCGUAUGUGGGGGUGUCCUUACUUUUUCCUCACAAGAAAUUAGAUUUUUGGAAAUUCUGGAUUUUUUUUUCUUCAAAUUUACAGAAAAUUUUUAAUACUUUUCUUUAGUUUUUUUUUUAGUUAUUACUUUAUCUCAAUAUUGUUAAUAUAUAGAUGAAAUGUCCAUAACAGGCUUUCAGGGGGAGUUUUUCACAUGACUGUAUUAAAUGCUUUAAAAUAAUAAUUUUUAUUCUAGGUUGUCCAAGAUUUAUUCGGGCAGACAGAGGAAAGGAAAACCUUAUUGUCGGACAGAUGCAAGUGGCAUUUCACUUCAGGCAGGCUAGUGAUCAUGGACGAGAUUCUUUCAGAGUGGGCAAAUCAGUCCACAAUCAGGCAUGUAAUCGUUGUUGCUUAAUCACUGCAUAAUUUAAUUAAACAUUCGUUUAAAAUGUUUUUGGAGUAUGUGCUGUGCAGACAAACCUGUAUUAUACAAGAAAGUUUAAAACAAAAAUAGCCAACAUAUGAUUUAAUUAAAAGUAACCCAAUUGCUUUUGCAUUUCUUUUGUUAUUCUAAAUAUCAUCUAUUUUAAAUAUUAAUAUUUUGUGUCCAAUUAUUUACUUAUGUAGAAAGUAGUCAUUUAAAGCAGUGGUUCUCAAUUCCAGUCCUUGGGACUGCCCUCCCAGAAUGUUUUAGAUGUCUCCUUAUAUAAAACACCUGAUUUCACUCAUUAGGAUCCUUAACACACUAACAAGCUGAUGACAUGAAUCAGGUGUUUCAUAUCAGGAGACAUCUAAAAUGUUCUUGGAGGGGGGGGGCAGAGGACUGGAAUUUAGAACCAUUGAUUUAAAGCAAUAAAUGAUAUCAUUAAUUUAGGGUCUUGAUUACCCUGUUGGAUUUUAUUGUGCACUAACAACCUGUUGACUAGAGCUGAAUUCUUCAACAGCAUCUUGAAGAAAACCUGGAUCAAAAAAUGGCAGGUGACAUUUGAGACUAUGAUGGAAUCAGGGAUCCUUGAUUUGGACAAUUCAGUACAUAUAAAUUGCCUGCAAUACACACACCUUCCCCUUCUCCAGAAAGAGCUGACCACAGAACAAAGACUAUGGAACACUCAUGACAUUCGCAAGCAGCGCAAUGUUGCAGGUCCAUUCGGAAAGCCGGACGUUCUGUUCACUUUACCUCCUCAAGGUUUUGCUGAUAUGCUCUGCAAAGUGUAUGAUGACCUUCUGCAAUAUGCAGAACAACUUGUGUGUGCUACAGAUGAGCCUUUGUUGGUGGCGAAUGAAACAUUCAGAACAAUUGCAGAGGCCAUUCUUAGAGACGCAAACUUCCCAUUAUCUUCAGAUGGGUCUCCAGCAGCUUACCUUAUGCUGGUGGAGAAAUUCGUUGCAUGCAUUGAAAGAAGAGACAUUCACAUACCAUCCACAUUUGCAGAAGCAAAUGAAAUAUAUGAGCUACUGGCUAAUGAGACCUUCUAGCUGUUUCAAUUAUUAAGUGUUUUAUAGCGAUUUCAAGUUUAAGUACUUAAAAUGUGUAGUAGUGCUUAUUGAAUAAAAAUGUCCAAACAAGAAUUCCA